rnacentral:lncRNA from 1 species
CCACCUCUGCUUUCUGCAACUCUGAUCCCUCUUUGCUCUACAGCUCUCCGUCAUACUUCUUUCAAGGUCUUCAGGGCUUCAGCUGCCCCAGAAAGAGGAACAAAAAAGCACACUGAAAACAUUGAAAGAGAGGACUGGAGGAGAAAGAUGAAAGGAGAUGAGUAGGUGUGGGAAAAAGAGACAGAACAAGCACAGCUGUAGAGUCAGAACAGACUACAUAUUUAUUUUCUUUAAAAAGGCAUGUAAAGCUCCUCUGGGAAAGCACUGUCCACUGCCCAAGACAGCAUGCUAGAGUAGAUGGAGUGACAGCCUAAUGCAUUUAAACAACAUCUAGGUGCAAGUGAAAUAAAAUGGAGGCAACCUUUUCCUUCUUGUGCA